AAUGGGAAGAGCAUAGCAUUUACAGUGGGUUUCACACACAUGCACACACUGAUGUAUGCCUUGAGUCGCUCAGUGACAAUAAACAUUCUUAUGACUCUUUGUGUUUGUCCUUUGGGAUAUUUUUUUCAGGGUUCCCGCGGGGUCUUAAAAAGCCUUAAAAGCAUUGAAUUUAUGAAAUUGGAAAUAAUACCUUAAAAAGACUUAAAAAAGUCUUAAAUUUUGAUGUCUGGGUCUUAAAAAUUGUGCUGUAUGUAACUUCUCCAUAUUGUAUUUUUCCUUAAAAGUUUCUUUGUCAACCACAUUUUGAUUAAAUCAGGGAUGCAAACACAUCGCUUUUCAGCGCCUGCGCCUUUUUAUUAUUAAUGGCAUUUUGGUUGCGAGCACAUCCCCAACAAACAUGAGACGUCCAAAGGACGUUCAGAUUAUGUCCAUAUCGGGUCGGUCGGUCCAGAACCUAAUCUGCACCUAAUCUGCACGUCUAAACGACGUGCAGAUCCAGUACAGUAUUUGGACGUCUGACUACGACGUCUUUUGGAUGUUGAUAUGCAGUUCAAUAUUUGAGGGUCCGUUCUUGGACGUCAUUUAGACGUUCAAAACAGGUUCAGAAAAAAAAUAUAAAAACUUAUGCAAUAAAAACGACAAAUGAGUUCUGAUUCAAAACAAUGUAACAUGACGGUUUUUUUUUUUUGGUGAAAAUUCUUUAAGGUGAUAAAAUAUGUUAUAUUUUUAAGAAUGAAUGUUCACAACGCGUGCCAAAAUCUACUGCAUUUCUUUUGUGUAAUUUGCAAAUUAAACCAAAUUCAAGUGUGAUUUACAAAAAUAAUCAACAUUGCAAUUUUAAGUUUAACCACAAGGGUGUGUAAAAGCUUAGGUGGCGAGGUGGCCCGUGAUCUUUUUUUGCACGUGAUCAACAGACGUAAUUAAGCGAGCCCCAGCCGUAAACGUACUCAACGGAUUCAACCUGCUGUGAACAGGAGAACAGGACCUACAUACACCCCAAAGGCUCUUUUCAGAGCCAUUUGACCAAGCAUCUUUGUACAUGCCGGUUUUCCUUCAGUAGUGCCAGUUUUCCUAAGAUUUUACCUCGUCCUCCACUGCCUCCAGUAAUUCCUGGUUUUAAGGUGGAGUAAUGGAGUAAAGAUGCAACGGAGCAGCUGAUAAGAAAACAUGCUUAAGACCAUCUUAAACGUGCACCAUCAAGAAAGGGAGGGGUACACAAUAAACAUUUUUUUUUAACAUUACUUUUUGAAUAGAUGCACUUUUUAAAUUUUUUUUUAAAGUAUAUAUAUUGUUUAUUUAUGUUGUUUUUAAAUGUUAUAAUUGUAUUGUUUUUAUUUGUUGUAUUUAGCUUUUAUGCAUUUGUACACACACAAACACACAACCACAUUUAUACAAAAUAAGUUUUGAAUAAAUACGUUUAAUGGAGUGCAAAGUGUGAGUCUUUAUUUAGCUAAAUGAUGUCUAAAAUGAGUCUGCAGUUGACGUUAUAAGACGUUGAAAAUAUGUCCACAAUGACCACAUUUCAACUAAAUUUGGACCUUAAAAAGACGUCCUAUGGAUGUCAUUAUUGGACGUCCAAAAGACGUCGGAAAACCUUUCAUUCUGCACCCUGAUGGGGACGUCUUUUCAACGUCUUUAUUGGACGUCCAAAAGACGUCAGAAAAAGACGUCGGAAAUCCUUUCAUUCUGCACCCUGAUGGGGACGUCUUUUCAACGUCCGACAAAGAUGUUGAAAAGACGUCUUUUGGACAUACUUUUGC